rnacentral:rRNA from 1 species
UACAGAGGUCUCAAGCGUUGUUCGGAUUCAUUGGGCGUAAAGGGUGCGUAGGUGGCGAGGUUAGUCAGGUGUGAAAUCUCGGGGCUCAACCCCGAAACUGCACUUGAUACUGCCUUGCUAGAGUACUGGAGAGGAGAUUGGAAUUUACGGUGUAGCAGUGAAAUGCGUAGAUAUGUGGAGGAACACCGAUGGCGAAGGCAGCCCCUGGGUCAAAACUGACGCUCGAUGCACGAAAGCGUGGGGAGCAAACAGG